rnacentral:rRNA from 1 species
AGUGAACGCUGGCGGUAGGCCUAACACAUGCAAGUCGAACGGCAGCACAGUAAGAGCUUGCUCUUACGGGUGGCGAGUGGCGGACGGGUGAGGACUACAUCGGAAUCUACUUUUUCGUGGGGGAUAACGUAGGGAAACUUACGCUAAUACCGCAUACGACCUACGGGUGAAAGCAGGGGAUCUUCGGACCUUGCGCGAUUGAAUGAGCCGAUGUCGGAUUUGCUAGUUGGCGGGGUAAAGGCCCACCAAGGCGACAAUCCGUAGCUGGUCGGAGAGGAUGAUCAUGCACACUGGAACUGAGACACGGACCAGACUCCUACGGUAGGCAGCAGUGGGGAAUAUUGGACAAUGGGCGCAAGCCUGAUCCAGCCAUACCGCGUGGGUGAAGAAGGCCUUCGGGUUGUAAAGCCCUUUUGUUGGGAAAGAAAAGCAUCAGGUUAAUACCCCGCUGUUCUGACGGUACCCAAAGAAUAAGCACCGGCUAACUUCGUG